AGAGCGAACGCUGGCGGCAGGCCUAACACAUGCAAGUCGAGCGCCCGUAGCAAUACGGGAGCGGCAGACGGGAUAGUAACACGUGGGAACGCGCCCUUCGGUUCGGAAUAACUCAGGGAAACUUGAGCUAAUACCGGAUACGCCCUUACGGGGAAAGAUUUAUUGCCGAAGGAACGGCCCGCGUCCGAUUAGCUAGUUGGUGAGGUAAUGGCUCACCAAGGCGACGAUCGGUAGCUGGUCUGAGAGGAUGACCAGCAUCACUGGGACUGAGACACGGCCCAGACUCCUACGGGAGGCAGCAGUGGGGAAUAUUGGACAAUGGGCGCAAGCCUGAUCCAGCCAUGCCGCGUGGAUGAUGAAGGCCUUAGGGUGUAAAGUCCUUUUAACGGGGAAGAUAAUGACGGUACCGUAGAAUAAGCCCGGCUAACUUCGUGCCAGCAGCCGC
rnacentral:rRNA from 1 species